CCCUCAAGAUGAGAUAUCCCAUAACGAGAAGUUAGUAAGACCCCUUGAAGACGACGAGGUAGAUAGGGCAGAGGUGGAAGUGCGGUAACGCAUGGAGCUGACUGUUACUAAUAGGUCGAGGGCAUAACCAA
rnacentral:rRNA from 1 species